rnacentral:piRNA from 1 species
UGACAAAAGUCUAGUCUCUGCUGCCUUC